UACGAGGGGGGCGAGCGUUGUUCGGAAUUAUUGGGCGUAAAGGGUGCGUAGGCGGUCCUAUAAGUAUGGUGUGAAAAUCUCCCGGCUUAACUGGGAGGGUGCGCCGGAAACUGGAGUGCUCGAGCGUGGGAGAGGAAAGCGGAAUUCCUGGUGUAGCGGUGAAAUGCGUAGAUAUCAGGAGGAACACCGGUGGCGAAGGCGGGUCUCUGGGCAGUAACUGACGCUGAGGAGCGAAAGCAUGGGGAGCGAACAGG
rnacentral:rRNA from 1 species